rnacentral:rRNA from 1 species
GACGAACGCUGGCGGCGUGCCUAAUACAUGCAAGUUGAGCGAUGAAGAUUGGUGCUUGCACCAAUUUGAAGAGCAGCGCACGGGUGAGUAACGCGUGGGGAAUCUGCCUUUGAGCGGGGGACAACAUUUGGAAACGAAUGCUAAUACCGCAUAACAACUUUAAACAUAAGUUUUAAGUUUGAAAGAUGCAAUUGCAUCACUCAAAGAUGAUCCCGCGUUGUAUUAGCUAGUUGGUGAGGUAAAGGCUCACCAAGGCGAUGAUACAUAGCCGACCUGAGAGGGUGAUCGGCCACAUUGGGGCUGAGACACGGCCCAAACUCCUACGGGAGGCAGCAGUAGGGAAUCUUCGGCAAUGGACGAAAGUCUGACCGAGCAACGCCGCGUGAGGGAAGAAGGUUUUCGGAUCGUAAAACUCUGUUGGUAGAGAAGAACGUUGGUGAGAGUGGAAAGCUCAUCAAGUGACGGUAACUACCCAGAAAGGGACGGCUAACUACGUG